CAUAUAAAAUACCCAAUUAUAGAAACCCUAUCCUUAAGUUUUCAAGACCUAAGACCUAAAGAAAGAAGAAAAACGGCGGGCAGCCAUCUCCCUUCUCCAUCUCCAAGACCUCACCUUAAACCAACCAACGAUUACCCCAAAAUUCCAUUAGAAAUCCCACCUUCAAAUACCCUUUAAACCCAAUUUCCAAACAUCAUAUAAGUCACAAAAAUUCACUAAUUUUCCAUCCAAAGAUACGCCGAAGUCGAGCUGAGGAAUUCGCGGAGUUACGAGAUUUUCGGUGAGGUUCCCUUCAGAGAGGGUCACAAAAAGGCAAGUAGGCAAGUUGGCGGUGAAAAAUUAAAAAUGGAGGCAAAUGUGGGGUUGACUUUACCAGAUUUGAGCAAUAGGACAUGGGCUACUCGGGAUGAUCGUCAAAAUUUGAGUGUUGAAUCCAAAGCAAUCAAAAUGGUUAAAUGUUGUAGUAAUGCUGAUGUGCGAAUGUGUGGCUAAGAUGUUGCUUAGUAACUGGAAAGUCACUCCUCUUUUAGCAUGGUAGCUUAUUUUCUCAUUUUUUCUUCUUCUUUUGUGUUGUCGACCCUGCUAUUCUUUAUUCAAUAAAAAGCAGUCAGUCAUUUUGUAUCCAUUUUGUGCAUAGUUCUGUCCAUGCUAGUUUUUGGUGACAUGACAUGUAUGAGGAAUUUUUGGCCAGAUCUUAGAAAACUUAUUUAGUCUUGAAUUGGAUAAGUGAGAAAGAGACACUUUUGAAGAUGAAUAGAGACAUGAAACAAUUGG